UUGACCAUGGCAGCCAGCUGCUGCUACACGCGUUGACGAGCUCCGCACCUGAUGGACCAUUAUGACUCCCUUAGAGGAAGAAGGCCGUUCAGAAGUCCAUGUUCGACGUGCCACGGUCCGACCUUAACUAACGCUAAGGGGAUCGCUUACGGGAUUGACAACUGAGAUAAAUACGGGAAGGGAGUACCAUUCACACGGAUUACGCGCCAGCGUUCCUGAGCAUAUCCAGACGCAUGCGCUCGCGGAGGAUUCAAGGACAUCGUUCCUGAGAGCAUCCGCGACCCCAGUGUGUUUACUACAGCGCCGCUGGAUUCAGUUCUCCACUCUCCAGUGUGCUUGUUACAGGUUCUGAUAUUCUUCAGUGCUGGCAUCUAGGAACAACACUAUCAAAGUGUAAGUAAAAUCCAGAGUACCAAGGAUAAUCACUUGUAAAAUAAUAAAAACAGCAGACAGGGACACUCAUUUUAUUAACACUAAUGCCUAACAAUCAACUCACACAGACCUAACAGCCAAUCUUUUAAGAUUGGCUCAGCAAGGCCUAUCCCUUUGAUUUAUUGUCAGAGCUUGUUGACUGAAAGACUGCACAACAUCCACUGAUUUAGUGCCAUAUGAUAACACAAUGUACAGUUAUAUUGUCCUUCUAAGCACUAAACCUCUAGAUGAAACUACUUUCGGUGAACAAGCCCUGUGAAUUAACGAUGUAUCAUUGUUAAUAACUUCCCUACACCUAUGUACUUUAGUCCAUCUAUUAGACAUGCUCUCAAGUCAAGUAGGGAAAAUCUGCAGGAUUGCCUGAUCCCCUUCUGUGAAGUGGGGUAGGAUCAGUACAAACUGCAUCAACCCCUGUGGGUUGCUCAGAGCAACCUUGUAACAGUAGGACAUGGUCCCACAUCUAUAAAUGGACUAAAUAAAUCUUCAUUUACCUGUUAUAGCUAAAACAUUUAAUUCAGCUCACCAAAGUUUAGUAGAUUUACUUUUGCAGGGUAGAACAGCCUCACUUUAAGCCAGUGCUUUGAUAUUCUUCAUUGGCACCUGAAAAAAUAACCGAAUUAAUAGCUUUUGAAAACUCAAAAUAUUUAAUAUAAAAACUUAAUUAUACAAUUAUAAUGCAAGUGUAGGUUAAUGUAAAGUACUUUUUAUAAAUUUAAAAUGUCUUGGACUAUUUUUACAAUAUUUUAACCUUUCCUACAUAUUCUGGCAGAAUUGAAAAAAUUCAAUGUUAAUGAUAUUCAAGGAAUAAAACUUAUUAAACUGAUGAUUUGUCCAACUAAUACUUAAAUUUAAAAGAGAAAUUCUAGUCAAACUAAAAACUUUCAUGGUAAUGAACAUUAAUAUUCAUGAGGAUCAUUGCAGAUUGUUAUUAAGCAAAAUACUAGAUUUAACUACCUGUUAUAGUUUAAUACAAAACUAUUCUAAUUAUACUCACCUGAUUCUGUAAUUGAAGCCAUUAACACCUUCCCACUGAAGGAUGAAGCUCUAGACUUUCCAAUCUAUAUUUUGAAAAUAUAUCUUUUUUUAUUUAAACUUAAAUUAUACAAAACUAAACUACAACUACCAGUCUAUUUUUUUGUAGUUUACUCAAGGGAACCAAGUUUUGCAGUACUGUAUAUAGUACUCAGAAUAAAACUUAUUUUCCAUCAUUUACAUAUUUAUCAAUUACCACCAUUUUCAUCACAUACUCUUUUAAAGAAAAAAUUUAUGAAUAAACAUUUAUUAAGAACCAAGCAACUAACUGAACAUAUUAAAAAUUAAGCAAACCAAUUUAGAUUGAAAUACAUAAAAUAUUUUAUUGUAACUUGAUACAAAUACCCUCAACACUAGCUGUUUAAGGGCAAAUGCCUCACAUUACAAUCUUCAAAGCUUGAUGCUAGUUAUGCUAGUCAAAAGCACUAUUCCUGCAAGGACUAAACUAAAGUAUAUAGUAACAAUAAGCAUAUGUAAAUAAAUAGGUCCCCAUGCUGUUGGUGUCUUAUUCCUCCUAGAUCAGAAAAUGACCGCUGCAUUAUGUAGGAAUGCGGAGGAAUUUCUGAUGGAGGAGAAAGACAGUUGCACAGCGCGUCAACCAGGAGGCCUGGUCGACGACCGGGCCGCGGGGACGCUAAGCCCCGGAAGCACCUCAAGGUAACCCACUAGCCUAGAAAAGGCAGGAUUUUACUUCCCAUUUCCAGGCUCUUUCACAAAUUUCACUAUUUCAAAAUUUAUACCCAAAUAUUGGUACAAGAAAUGUUUGCUAUAAAAGUAAUUAUCCCCAUAAUUUUUUACUUUUGCCCUCUAUAAUUUUGACACGACAAUAUUAUGUACUGUACAUUGGCAACACUUGCCAUAAUUUCAGUAAACACCAAGUUCUUUCUGAACAGACAUUGUAAGGACCUUCCACAAUCUGUCAUGGGACCAGUAAUUAAUAGUUAAUAAAGUUAAUUGCAUAGCAAUUUCAUUUACCUCCUGAACUCCCAGUUUAACUAUUGCCCUUUUAACCCAGCCAAAUAUAAAGUUACGAGGAUUGGAACAGGAGUGCGAAGACCAGUACAGCCGUAUAGGAUAAAUGGAAGACACAAUCUUCAAUCAGAAAAGGAGAAUGACCUGGGAGUGGACAAAACCCCAAAUCUGAUGCCAGAAGCCCACAGUAGCAGAAUAACAACUGCUGAAUAUGGCAUACUUGACAACAUCCAUGUAUCCUUCAGAAACUUGGGCUUUGCCCAAGUUUCUGGGCCCUAAUUACAGCGAAGAUAAGACCCACUCUUGAACAUGCAUCACAUGGGACCCUUAUCUGAAAAAGGACAAGGAGAAAGUAGAAAAGGUACAAAGAUAUGCAACGAGACUUGUUCCAGUGUUGAGGGGAUUGAGCUAUGAGGAAAGUAUGAGAAUUUGUCCUUACCACACUGGAGGAAAGGAAAGAAAAGGGGAAGAGGGGGGGGGGAACAUGAUGAUAACAUGCAAGAAUCUGAGGGAAAUUAACAAAGUAGACAAAGCAACAUUGUUCAAAGUUAGGAAUAGCAGAACGAGGGGUCAUAGACGAAAACGAGAUGCAAACACAUCGUGGAAACAUAAAGAACUUUUUCAGUAUUAGAACUGUCGAUAAAUGGAAUAGAAUAGAUGCAGAAGUCGGUGAAGCAAAUUCAAAUAAAAUUUUUAAAUGUAAAUACUGUAUGAUAAAAUGAGAGACGAGUUGUUGCAAUACUCUACGAACAUUUGGAAGGUGGAGCUAGGAGUCUAGCUCAACCCAGCAAGCACAUCUAGGUGAACACACACACACACACACACACACACAUA